rnacentral:rRNA from 1 species
AUUAGAGUUUGAUCCUGGCUCAGGACGAACGCUGGCGGCGUGCUUAACACAUGCAAGUCGAACGCGAAUGGGGGGCAACCCCCUAGUAGAGUGGCGCACGGGUGAGUAACACGUGGGUAAUCUACCUCUGGGUGGGGUAUAACAGUUCGAAAGGACUGCUAAUCCCGCAUAAGACCACGGGGCCUUCGGGCCCUGGGGCCAAAGCAGCAAUGCGCCUGGAGACGAGCCCGCGGCCCAUCAGCUAGUUGGCGGGGUAAUGGCCCACCAAGGCUCUGACGGGUAGCUGGUCUGAGAGGACGACCAGCCACACUGGGACUGGAACACGGCCCAGACUCCUACGGGAGGCAGCAGUGAGGAAUAUUGGACAAUGGGCGAAAGCCUGAUCCAGCAACGCCGCGUGGGUGAUGAAGGCCUUCGGGUUGUAAAGCCCUGUCGGGAGGGAAGAGUAAGGACGGUACCUCCUAAGGAAGCACCGGCUAACUCCGUGCCAGCAGCCGCGGUAAUACGGAGGGUGCAAGCGUUGUCCGGAAUCACUGGGCGUAAAGCAGGUGCAGGCGGCUUGUUAUGUCGGGUGUGAAAUCCCAAGGCUCAACCUUGGAACUGCGCUCGAAACUGGCAAGCUUGAGUACGGUAGGGGAUGGUGGAAUUCUGGGUGUAGAGGUGAAAUUCGUAGAUAUCCAGAAGAAUACCGGUGGCGAAGGCGACCAUCUGGCCCGUUACUGACGCUCAGACCUGAAAGCGUGGGGAGCAAACAGAAUUAGAUACUCUGGUAGUCCACGCUGU